AGAAAGAACGUAAAAUGUUUCUGGAUUACUUCCAACAAUCAACAAGCAAGAAAAUUCAGUAAUCUCCAGUGAACAAGAAAAUUGCUAAAGAUUGAUUGUUGAUUACAAUGGUCAUGGAAAUUACAAGACGUUCAGAAUUUUCUUGAUCAUCAAGAAGCACAAAGAAUUAGACUACGUUCAGAACUUUCUUGAUUACCUAACCAGCAAGCAAUAUGACUACAGAAAAUCCGGAGUUCUGAUGAUACCAAGAUCCACAGAUCUUCUGUAACAAUGGAGAUGGAGUUCUAACAACAUUCUUGAUCCAUGUGCCGGAAAACGCAAAAAAAAAGGUACACGAAGAAUGUAUAAUCUGUGUGAAUGCUUCCAACAAGCAAAGCAAAUUCAGAAACACCCACUAGUAUUUAUUUUCUUUUGCAAAAAUAAAUAAAUAGCCAUGAGUACUGAAACAAGCGUUCGAAUCCCAGCUGUUUCAGAAUUCAGAUUCAGUGCAAACAACUGGAAAAGGCUGCUUUGUUUUGACAGCGUUUGGCCCUGGAAGAUCAUGAGCAACUUUUCGAUUUUUUGUUGGAAGAUCAUGAGUAACUGAAGUACUGAAUCCAAGCAGAUCAGGAGUAACUGAAGCACAUCGACAAGCAAGAAAUCUUUCUGGGUUACUUCGAACAACCAACAAGCAAGGAAGUUCGGUAAUCUCCAGUGAACAAGAAAAUUGCUAAACAUUGAUUUGUUGAUUACAAUGGUCAUGCAAAUUACAAGACGUUCAGAAUUUUCUUGAUCAUCAAGAAGCACAAAGAAUUACACUAAUUUCAGAACUUUCUUGAUUACCUAACCAGCAAGUAAGACGAUUACAGAAAAUCCAAAGCUCUGUUGAUACCAAGAUCCAAUGGAGUCCUAACAACAUUCUCGAUCAGCCAGAGCUUCCAUUACAAGUCAAAUCCCAUUCCAAGGAGAUCAGGAGUAACAAGCAAGAGAAAAGGUACUAGAAAGAACGUAAAAUCUUUAUGGAUUACUUCCAACAAUCAACAAGCAAGACAGUUCAGUAAUCUCCAGUGAACAAGGAAAUUGCUAAAGAUUGAUUGUUGAUUACAAUGGUCAUGGAAAUUACAAGACGUUCAGAAUUUUCUUGAUCAUCAAGAAGCACAAAGAAUUAGACUACGUUCAGAACUUUCUUGAUUACCUAACCAGCAAGCAAUACAACUACAGAAAAUCCGGAGUUCUGAUGAUACCAAGAUCCACAGAUCUUCUGUAACAAUGGAGAUGGAGUUCUAACAACAUUCUUGAUCCAUGUGCCGGAAAACGCAAAAAAAAAAGGUACACGAAGAAUGUAUAAUCUGUGUGAAUGCUUCCAACAAGCAAAGCAAAUUCAGAAACACCCACUAGUAUUUAUUUUCUUUUGCAAAAAUAAAUAAAUAGCCAUGAGUACUGAAACAAGCGUUCGAAUCCCAGCUGUUUCAGAAUUCAGAUUCAGUGCAAACAACUGGAAAAUGCUGCUUUGUUUUGACAGCGUUUGGCCCUGGAAGAUCAUGAGCAACUUUUCGAUUUUUUGUUGGAAGAUCAUGAGUAACUCAAGUACUGAAUCCAAGCAGAUCAGGAGUAACUGAAGUGCAUCGACAAGCAAGAAAAAGGUACAACCAACAAGCAAGGUAGUUCAGUAAUCUCCAGUGAACAAGAAAAUUGCUAAAGAUUGAUUUGUUGAUUACAAUGGUCAUGCAAAUUACAAGACGUUCAGAAUUUUCUUGAUCAUCAAGAAGCACAAAGCAUUACACUAAGUCCAGAACUUUCUUGAUUACCUAACCAGCAAGCAAGACGAUUACAGAAAAUCCAGCGCUCUGUUGAUACCAAGAUCCAAUGGAGUCCUAACAACAUUCUCGAUCAGCCAGAGCUUCCAUUACAAGUCAAAUCCCACUAGGAAAAUUCCCCACGAUCAGCAAAAAGUAAGACGAGAGAACAACAAGUCUAAGCAAAUCUACAUCCGGUA
rnacentral:lncRNA from 1 species